rnacentral:rRNA from 1 species
UACGUAGGUGGCAAGCGUUAUCCGGAAUUAUUGGGCGUAAAGCGCGCGCAGGCGGUUUCUUAAGUCUGAUGUGAAAGCCCACGGCUCAACCGUGGAGGGUCAUUGGAAACUGGGGAACUUGAGUGCAGAAGAGAAAAGCGGAAUUCCACGUGUAGCGGUGAAAUGCGUAGAGAUCCGGAGGAACCCCAGAGGCGAAGGCGGCGCUCUGGCUCGCAACUGACGCUCAGACACGACAGCAUGGGGAGCGAACGGG